rnacentral:tRNA from 1 species
AAGGUACUAGUAAAAUGAAUAUAACGCUAGCUUGUCAAGCUAGAAUUGUGGGUUUAACUCCCACGUACCUUA